AGCGAACGCUGGCGGCAGGCUUAACACAUGCAAGUCGAACGCUCCGCAAGGUGAGUGGCAGACGGGUGAGUAACGCGUGGGAAUCUACCCAUCUCUACGGAAUAACUCAGGGAAACUUGUGCUAAUACCGUAUACGCCCUUCGGGGAAAGAUUUAUCGGAGAUGGAUGAGCCCGCGUUGGAUUAGUUAGUUGGUGGGGUA
rnacentral:rRNA from 1 species